UGUGGAAUAUUGGACAAUGGGCGAAAGCCUGAUCCAGCCAUGCCGCGUGUGUGAAGAAGGCCUUUUGGUUGUAAAGCACUUUAAGCGAGGAGGAGGCUCUUCUAGUUAAUACCUAGGAUGAGUGGACGUUACUCGCAGAAUAAGCACCGGCUAACUCUGUGCCAGCAGCCGCGGUAAUACAGAGGGUGCGAGCGUUAAUCGGAUUUACUGGGCGUAAAGCGUGCGUAGGCGGCUGAUUAAGUCGGAUGUGAAAUCCCUGAGCUUAACUUAUGAAUUGCAUUCGAUACUGGUCAGCUAGAGUAUGGGAGAGGAUGGUAGAAUUCCAGGUGUAGCGGUGAAAUGCGUAGAGAUCUGGAGGAAUACCGAUGGCGAAGGCAGCCAUCUGGCCUAAUACUGACGCUGCGGUACGAAAGCAUGGGGAGCAAACAGG
rnacentral:rRNA from 1 species